rnacentral:misc_RNA from 1 species
AAAAGAUUGAAUACUUGUUUAAAGACUUGCACAUUUUCAUCUCUACAUUCAACAACUGAUUCCCAAAAUUGAUGAAAACUCUAGUUGGCUUAAGGAGUUUAUAUAAUUCAGAGUAAUUCAGCUAUUAGGUUGUGUUUUGUAGGACAUAAUGAAAUGUACUAUAUAUUAUAUGCCCUAAUACGAUAAGCAGAAUGAUUAUAUGAAAAUUUUAAUAUGUCAAUAAG